UUAGAGUUUUAAUGAAAAAGAGAGCACUACAAAAAUAAACAAAAGACGACAGCAAAACAGUCCUGUCAGGAUUAACUCUACACAGAAAACACUAGACAGAAACAGUUCUGUCAGGAAAACACACUAACAGAAUACAAUCACCCACAAAAACCCAAAGGAAAACCAGGCUACUUAUGUGUGACUCCCAAUCAGCAACAACGAACUACAGCUGUGUCUGAUUGGGAGCCACACAUGGCCAAAAACAAAGAAAUACAAAAACAUAGAAAAAUUAACAUAGAACGCCCACCCAAUGUAACACCCUGGCCUAACCAAAAUAAAGAACAAAAACCCCUCUCUAUGGCUAGGGCGUUACAGUAUCCCCCCCCAAAGGUGCGGACUCCGGCCGCAAAACCUGACUCUGAAGGGGAGGGUCCAGGUGGGCCUUCUUACGGCGGCGGCUCAGGUGCGGGACGUGGCCUCCGCUCCACCCUCUGCGUCGCCCACUUAGGUGGCGCCCCUGGCCGCGCCGGAGGACUGGUGGGCGACCCUGACUGCGCCCGGCUGGCGGGCGAUUCUGGUUUCGCCCGGCUGGCGGGCGAACCUGGCUGCGCCCGGCUGGCGGGCGGCUCCGGGCUGGCGGGCGUCUCCGGCGGCACUGACCCAGGAUUCACCAGGCUAGGGAGACAUGAAGGAGGCCUGGCCCUGGGCGCAGGCACAGGACUCACCAGGCUGGGGAGACAUGAAGGAGGUCUGGCCCUGGGCGCAGGCACAGGACUCACCAGGCUGGCGGGCGGCUCUGGCGGCUCUGGACAGGCGGGCGGCUCUGGCGGCUCCGGACAGGCGGGAGGCUCUGGCGGCCCCGGACAGGCGGGCGGCUCUGGCGGCUCCGGUUUGGCGGGCGGCUCUGGUGGCUCCGGACUGGCAGGCGGCUCUGGCGGCUCUGGCCCAGGACUCACCAGGCUGGGGAGACCCACUGGAGGCCUGGUCCGUGGAGGAGGCACAGGCUUGACCAGGAUAGGGAGACCCCCUGGAGGCCUGGUCCGUGGAGGAGGCACAGGACUG
rnacentral:lncRNA from 8 species